rnacentral:lncRNA from 1 species
UGUAGAUUAGAAUGCAAAGACGCAGACUGGUGAUUGAGUGGUCUCUGGGUAACCCCCUGCAGCCCAGUGGGAUUUUAACUAGGAGUAAAGUGGAGGGGCAUUUUCACCAGACACCAGACACGAGUAAGAAAUGGAGGACCAGUGGAGAGCCACUCACCUCUCACCCAGAGCGGCUGAUGCUCUGCCAUGCAGUGAGGAAGCCAACUUUGGGAUUUGUCCUCAGUGCCUGUGGGGUUGGUGUGCAGAAGCUCAAGUCUCUUGUGCAAAUGCUCGAUAUUUACAUCGUGCCUGUGGUCACCCUGGGUCAUGCUGCUCCUGUAGGGUGCGUGGCGAGAGUGAGUCUCGGGGAGUAGUGGACAGGCCAGGCUGCUCGUAGGAGGCUUUUCUGCAGCUGGAUUUGGUGUGUGGUUGGUUGACUGCAGGUGUGGAAGCCACAGCACA